AGCUGCUGGGAAACAGUCGACCCCAGAUCAGCACUGGGUUCUAUUUUGUUUAGAAGGAUGCUGAAAUGAAUUGAUUUUUAAGUUUGACUGGAUGCUGGUACAUUAUCCUGCAGUGUAGCCAUCACUGUUUAAAAGCCCAUUUAGUUCCAGCUCAUGACUAUUAACAAAAACCUAGAUGAAAUGGUCUUCACAAGAAGUAGACCACAAAAUCUAAUAAAAGCUUUGUCUUUUACGUCAUAUGAUCCUGUAAGAUGGACAGCCUUUGGUAAUGAAGGCAGGGUUUCAUGAAGCCUUCAACUCCUGAUCUUCCUUCUUUUACCUUCCAAGUUCUUGGUAUCAGGCAUGAGGCUAUCAACUGGCUACUCAUCUUAGGAGUAUCAAAUGACCAAGGAGCUUGCCAACACUGACUAAAACCUUCCUGGCUUUCUCUAUCCCGGGGAAUAAUGGGAAUUUCUUGUGAUGAAUGCAGCAAUCCCUCUCCUGGGCAUAUAUCCAGAAGAUGUUCCAACUUNNNNNNNNNNNNNNNNNNNNNNNNNNNNNNNNNNNNNNNNNNNNNNNNNNNNNNNNNNNNNNNNNNNNNNNNNNNNNNNNAAGUGGAUAUUAGCCCAGAAACUUAGAAUACCCAAGAUACAAUUUGCAAAAUACAUGAAACUCAAGAAGAAGGAAGAUCAAAGUGUGGCUACUUCACUCCUUCUUAGAAUGGGGAACAAAACACCCAUGGAAGGAGUUACAGAGACAAUGUUCAGAGCUAAGAUGGAAGGAAGGACCAUCCAGAGACUGCCCCACCCAGGGAUUCAUUCCAUAUAGAAUCACCAAACCCAGACACUAUUGCAUAUGCCAGAAAGAUUUUGCUGACAGGACCUUGAUAUAGCUAUCUCUUAUGAGGCUAUGCCAGUGCCUGGCAAAUACAGAAGUGGAUGCUCACAGUCAUCUAUUGGAUGGAACACAGGGCCCAUAAUGAAAGGAGCCAGAGAAAGUACCCAAGGAGCUAAAGGGGUCUGCAACCAUAUAGGAGGAACAACAAUAUGAACUAACCAUACCCCCCCAGAACUGUGUCUCUCGUUGCAUAAGUAGCAGAGGAUGGUCUAGUUGGCCAUCAAUAGGAGGAGAGGCCCUUGGUCUUGUGAAGACCAUAUGCCCUUAUGAACUCAGGGAAGAAGCAUCCAGUUGGCUGGGUGGUCUAACCUAGUCCAAAAGUUGUAAUGGGCUGGCUCCAUUAUGGGCAGUGAGUAGUCAGUUUCUGUUUCUUGUAGCCUUUAUAGAGCUGGCCCUGGGGAAAGUGGCUAGCUGGGGACAGAUGUUGCCACAGUAGAAUGAGGGCAAACUCUGGGACUAGAUCUAUAGUGCUCUAGAUUAGUCAGCCUGGUAUAUUUCUCUAAGUAUGAGCUUCUCCUGUAAUAACUGGUGAAAAUCUCAGUCUUUUUUCAAAAGAAAAGCACAUGUAAACACUGGGGCAAUGCUGUCUUUUGUGGUGGUAGGUCACUACUUACAUAUAGUACUUACACAUAGAAAUACUGUGUGAAGUGGGCUGUGUAUGCAUGAAAAUGUGUAUAUUUAUAUAAGUACAGGCAUCCACUCAUACAUGAAUAAUGUUGAUACAUGUCUGCUUCAUAAAUCAGCCUGUUCAUUCUGAUUUAGAGGGAAGAGAUUUUUUUAAAUGUAUCAUUUGAUACUGAGAAGAAAACAUUAAACUCAGUCUUUUCUCUUUCUUAAUCUCCAGAGCAGUAAGUAUAGACCAACAGUGUAAUGCAAUGGUGUGAAGAGAGAACCAUCAAUACACAGAGGAUAACACCCACACGCACAUAUAUAUCCAGCCACACUUGUGCCACAACAGUUCAAAUAAUGAGGAAAACUCCAGUGGCAACAAGGACAGUAGGCAUCCAGAGCUCUUGCUUUUCUGGUAUCAAUCUAUUAUGAGUUGGUGCAAUGGCUUUGUCACACUCCAAGAAUAUACUAAAGUUGACCAUAUACACAUCUUAUAAUGCAGCCAUUGCAGUCUUUGAAAUAAACUCUCCAGGAAGUUUGCACCAAAACAUUCAAAAGCCUACACUGUACUCACCUGCAAGAGUCUGACAAAGCCAAUGGGAGAAGGUCUGGAGAAUGGCAAAAUAUAACUGCAGUACAGACUUACAGUAGACAGCACCAACAGCAUGAGACCUACAGUGAUCUUAAUCUCAUCAACAAUACUGAGUGAAGGGAAAUGCACAGGGUGGCUAGGGCAUAUGUCAGUCUAUGGGUGCAUACUAAGCAUUCAUAGUGCCCUGAGUUCAUUCCCAUGCAUCCAGCAACCGCAAUGGCAACAAGAUGCAGAUGAGUGUAUGUUGUCUGACUCUGUUCCAAGAAAACAUAGAACCUGGCAAAACUCUUUCUGCUGUUCAAAGUCAGAACACAGCUCUAUGCGCUUCUACUGCCGUGAUAAACAGCAUGGCAAUGGCAGCUCAGAGCCGGGAGGAUUUAUUUUCAUUUAUAUCUCAAUUAUAGUCCAUCAUGAAGGAAAGUCAGGGAAGAAACUCAAGGAAGGGACCCAAAGGCAGGAAGUGAAGCAGGGACCAUAAAAGAACUCUGCUUAUUACUGGAUUCCUCCCCGAGGCUUGUUCAGCCUGCCUUUCUUUAAAAAAUGUGCAUUGGUGUUUUGCUUGCAUGUAUGUCUGUGUGAGGGUCUCAGAUCCCCUGGAACUGGACUUGCAGAUAGUUGUAAGCUGCCACGCAGGUGCUGGGAAUCAAACCCCAUCCUCUGAAAGAGUAGGCAGAGCUCUGAACUGCUGAGCCAUCUCUCCAACCCCCUCAGCCUGCUUUUUAAAAUAGAAACAGGACUACUAGUUGAGGGGUGACACCACUCACAGUGCCCUUGGCCCUCCAGCAUCAAUCACAUUCUAUGGAUAUGUCUACAGGCAUUUCCUAGCCUGUGAAUCCCUCUUCCCAGUUUACUCUAACCUAUGUCAAGUUAACAUCAAGUUAACCAUCACACCAAUAGUGGAGGAUUCUGGGUACUUGAUUUGGAUGCUUUUAUGUAGAUGUUUCAGUCUAUAAAAAUGUAUCAAACUGCAUAUACAUUUCUUUGUCACAUGCCAUACACAUUCUUUUAAAAGCUCAAUGUAAAUAGCAAGACUGGAGUAAGAUAUGCUACCACGGUGGAAGGAGCUUAACAAAGAUUAGGUUGCUUUCGUUUGCCAGGCCACAGUCACCUGUGAUGUCCACAGAAACAAUAAGGCAGGUAAACAGCCUGCCUUGGGAGCAGAUUCUGACCCUAACAGCCUGUGCUUCACAAUGUAAACACUCUCUUGCUUCCUUUCCCACAUUUAAAUAUCUCUCUAGGGUUUGCUACAACUUGUUUACUUUAUCCCAGCAAUGGUUUUGACCCUGUGGUCAAAGGAGUAGUAGGCAUCAUGGAAGAGCUACUUUUAAAAAAUGAUAAA
ensembl:antisense